GAUGAACGCUGGCGGCGUGCUUAACACAUGCAAGUCGAACGGUGAAGCAGGAGCUUGCUCUUGUGGAUCAGUGGCGAACGGGUGAGUAACACGUGAGCAACCUGCCCCUGACUCUGGGAUAAGCGCUGGAAACGGCGUCUAAUACUGGAUAUGUGAUGUGACCGCAUGGUCUGCAUCUGGAAAGAAUUUCGGUUGGGGAUGGGCUCGCGGCCUAUCAGCUUGUUGGUGAGGGAAUGGCUCACCAAGGCGUCGACGGGUAGCCGGCCUGAGAGGGUGACCGGCCACACUGGGACUGAGACACGGCCCAGAAUCCUACGGGAGGCAGCAGUGGGGAAUAUUGCACAAUGGGUGGAAGCCUGAUGCAGCAACGCCGCGUGAGGGAUGACGGCCUUCGGGUUGUAAACCUCUUUUAGCAGGGAAGAAGCGAAAGUGACGGUACCUGCAGAAAAAGCACCGGCUAACCACGUGCCAGCAGCCGCCGUAA
rnacentral:rRNA from 1 species